CAAGGCGUAGCUAUAACUAAAGCAUUCAGCUUACACCUGAAAGAUGUCUGCCACUUCCCCAGACCGCCUUGA
rnacentral:tRNA from 1 species